GCAUGGAAUUUUUGCAUGCUUUACUUCGCAAGGAUCUCUGGAGUUUAUAUCUUCAUGUGCAGAGCUUGUUUCAUCGAGUAGGUCACAACAGUGCUCUUAAGGAGAUGUACCUGGACAUUUGUCUAUCAUGUAAACUCUCCGACAUAGAUUGAAGGACUGACAAAAUAUUACUAAAACAGUUGUUUAGUUACAGACGACUGUUGCCUUCUUGCUAUGUGUCAAUCAACAAUAUUUCAUUGAGGAUAUAGUUGCAAUAGAUAUCGCAUUUUUCAAUCAUAAAUUGCAAUAAUAGUAUAAAUCCAUUUGUAAAUUUAAUUCUAUUGGCUUAGAGCAUGAGAAUUGUCAAUUAUUAAUAAAUGUAGAUGUAGAAUUAAUGAUAAACAUCCAAUCCUUUUUUUUUAAUUUACCUCUGUAGAAAAUUGCAAUUAUUCAUAGUAAAAUUCAGUGCUUACCAUGAAA